AUUGAACGCUGGCGGAAUGCUUUACACAUGCAAGUCGAACGGCAGCACGGGGCAACCUGGUGGCGAGUGGCGAACGGGUGAGUAAUACAUCGGAACGUGCCCAAUCGUGGGGGAUAACGUAGCGAAAGUUACGCUAAUACCGCAUACGAUCUACGGAUGAAAGCGGGGGAUCGCAAGACCUCGCGCGAAUGGAGCGGCCGAUGUCAGAUUAGGUAGUUGGUGGGGUAAAGGCUCACCAAGCCGACGAUCUGUAGCUGGUCCGAGAGGACGACCAGCCACACUGGGACUGAGACACGGCCCAGACUCCUACGGGAGGCAGCAGUGGGGAAUUUUGGACAAUGGGCGCAAGCCUGAUCCAGCCAUUCCGCGUGCAGGAUGAAGGCCUUCGGGUUGUAAACUGCUUUUGUACGGAACGAAACGGUUCUCUCUAAUACAGGGGGCUAAUGACGGUACCGUAAGAAUAAGCACCGGCUAACUACGUGCCAGCCGCCGCGGUAAUAC
rnacentral:rRNA from 1 species